UCUACGGGUGGCAGCAGUGGGGAAUAUUGGACAAUGGGGGCAACCCUGAUCCAGCCAUGCCGCGUGUGUGAAGAAGGCCCUCGGGUUGUAAAGCACUUGCAGUGAGGAAGAACGCCUGGUGGUUAAUACCCAUCAGGAAAGACAUCACUCACAGAAGAAGCACCGGCUAACUCCGUGCCAGCAGCCGCGGUAAUACGGAGGGUGCGAGCGUUAAUCGGAAUUACUGGGCGUAAAGCGCGCGUAGGUGGCUUGAUAAGUCGGUUGUGAAAGCCCCGGGCUCAACCUGGGAACGGCAGCCGGAACUGUCAAGCUAGAGGGCAGGAGAGGAAGGUAGAAUUCCCAGUGUAGCGGUGAAAUGCGUAGAGAUCGGGAGGAAUACCAGUGGCGAAGGCGGCCUUCUGGACUGUCACUGACACUGAGGUGCGACAGCGUGGGUAGCAAACAGGAUUAGAUACCCUAGUAGUC
rnacentral:rRNA from 1 species